GACGAACGCUGGCGGCGUGCUUAACACAUGCAAGUCGAACGCUGAAGCUUGGUGCUUGCACUGGGUGGAUGAGUGGCGAACGGGUGAGUAAUACGUGAGUAACCUGCCCUUGACUCUGGGAUAAGCCUGGGAAACUGGGUCUAAUACUGGAUACGACAUGUCACCGCAUGGUGGUGUGUGGAAAGGGUUUUACUGGUUUUGGAUGGGCUCACGGCCUAUCAGCUUGUUGGUGGGGUAAUGGCUCACCAAGGCGACGACGGGUAGCCGGCCUGAGAGGGUGACCGGCCACACUGGGACUGAGACACGGCCCAGACUCCUACGGGAGGCAGCAGUGGGGAAUAUUGCACAAUGGGCGAAAGCCUGAUGCAGCGACGCCGCGUGAGGGAUGACGGCCUUCGGGUUGUAAACCUCUUUCAGCACGGAAGAAGCGAGAGUGACGGUACGUGCAGAAGAAGCGCCGGCUAACUACGUG
rnacentral:rRNA from 1 species